AGAUUGAACGCUGGCGGCAUGCCUAACACAUGCAAGUCGAACGGGAGUAGCAAUACUCUAGUGGCGGACGGGUGAGGAAUACGUAGGAAUUUGCCCUUAAGUGGGGGAUAACCCGGGGAAACCCGGAUUAAUACCGCAUGACCUCGAAAGAGCAAAGUGGGGGAUCGCAAGACCUCACGCUUUUGGAGAAGCCUACGUCGGAUUAGCUAGUUGGUGAGGUAAUGGCUCACCAAGGCGACGAUCCGUAACUGGUCUGAGAGGAUGAUCAGUCACACCGGAACUGAGACACGGUCCGGACUCCUACGGGAGGCAGCAGUGGGGAAUAUUGGACAAUGGGCGCAAGCCUGAUCCAGCAAUGCCGCGUGUGUGAAGAAGGCCUCGGUUGUAAAGACACUUAAGUUAGGGUAAGAAAAACGUAACGAC
rnacentral:rRNA from 1 species